CGGGGCGUGGCUCAGUCCGGCUAGAGCACUUGGUUUGGGACCAAGGAGUCGGUGGUUCAAAUCCACUCGCCCCGACCA
rnacentral:tRNA from 1 species